rnacentral:rRNA from 1 species
UGAGUAACACGUGGGUGAUCUGCCCUGCACUUUGGGAUAAGCCUGGGAAACUGGGUCUAAUACCGAAUAGGACCGCGCUCUUCAUGGGGUGUGGUGGAAAGCUUUUGCGGUGUGGGAUGGGCCCGCGGCCUAUCAGCUUGUUGGUGGGGUAAUGGCCUACCAAGGCGACGACGGGUAGCCGGCCUGAGAGGGUGACCGGCCACACUGGGACUGAGAUACGGCCCAGACUCCUACGGGAGGCAGCAGUGGGGAAUAUUGCACAAUGGGCGCAAGCCUGAUGCAGCGACGCCGCGUGAGGGAUGACGGCCUUCGGGUUGUAAACCUCUUUCAAUAGGGACGAAGCGCAAGUGACGGUACCUAUAGAAGAAGGACCGGCCAACUACGUGCCAGCAGCCGCGGUAAUACGUAGGGUCCGAGCGUUGUCCGGAAUUACUGGGCGUAAAGAGCUCGUAGGUGGUUUGUCGCGUUGUUCGUGAAAACUCACAGCUUAACUGUGGGCGUGCGGGCGAUACGGGCAGACUAGAGUACUGCAGGGGAGACUGGAAUUCCUGGUGUAGCGGUGGAAUGCGCAGAUAUCAGGAGGAACACCGGUGGCGAAGGCGGGUCUCUGGGCAGUAACUGACGCUGAGGAGCGAAAGCGUGGGGAGCGAACAGGAUUAGAUACCCUGGUAGUCCACGCCGUAAACGGUGGGUACUAAGGUGUGGGUUUCCUUCCUUGGGAUCCGUGCCGUAGCUAACGCAUUAAGUACCCCGCCUGGGGGAGUACGGCCGCAAAGGCUAAAACUCAAAGGANUUGACGGGGGGCCCGCACAA